AGAGUUUGAUCAUGGCUCAGAGCGAACGCUGGCGGCAGGCCUAAACAUGCAAGUCGAACGGAUCCUUCGGGAUUAGUGGCGGACGGGUGAGUAACACGUGGGAACGUGCCUUUGGUUCGGAACAACUCCGGGAAACUUGAGCUAAUACCGAAUGUGCCCUUCGGGGGAAAGAUUUAUCGCCAUUAGAGCGGCCCGCGUCUGAUUAGCUUGUUGGUGAGGUAAAGGCUCACCAAGGCGACGAUCAGUAGCUGGUCUGAGAGGAUGAUCAGCCACACUGGGACUGAGACACGGCCCAGACUCCUACGGGAGGCAGCAGUUAGGAAUCUUGCGCAAUGGGGGAAACCCUGACGCAGCCAUGCCGCGUGAAUGAUUAAGGUCUUAGGAUUGUAAAAUUCUUUCAGCGGGGACGAUAAUGACGGUACCCGCAGAAGAAGCCCCGGCUAACUUCGUG
rnacentral:rRNA from 1 species